AGGUGGACUGUGACAGGAAGGACCUCUGCUAUUUGGCCUAUGAAAACAAAGAGGUGGACUGAGACAGGAAGGAGGACCUCUGCUAUUUGGCCCUUGAAAACCAAGAGGUGGACUGAGACAGGAAGGAGAACCUCUGCUAUUUGGCCCCUGAAAACCAAGAGGUGGACUGAGACAGGAAGAAUGACCUCUGCUAUUUGGCCUCUGAAAACCAAGAGGU